UCAAAGUUCUAUUAAUGUUUGAAUGUACUGGACAUUCAAGGAACAUUCGGUGAAUAUCUGAUUAAGUUAUUCGUGGAAUGUUACCACAAGACAUUCUAUGAACAUACUACCAAUGUCCUAUAUUUUAAGAGAGGCCAUUUACUAUUCAAUUUGCAUUCAUUUUCAAAUUUGCUGCGCGUGUAUAUGUAUUUAGGCAAUCCAAACCACGUGACUUCUGGUUCUGGUUGGCAUGGCAUACAGGUUACAGAGGUUAUGUUUGUAAUAUCAUUUCAUUUCAUCAUUUCACUGUUUAUCGUCAUAUUUUGGAUUCAUUUGGAUUUCGUUUGCUGUAUUUUGUGAACUUUAUAAACUUUACCACACUGCAAAGUGAUUAUUUAAGGAAAUUAUUAUUGGAGACACCAGAUGUUUGGAGAAAGAUAUUUAUUGAAGCUGAAAAUAAUUGGGGAUUUAGAUCCAUAUACAAUUCAGUCAAAAUUGGAUUUUACCAUAAAGUGCAUUCCACCAAAUUACUAUUAUAGAUAUUAUAGAUGAAAGCAUACAAAAGCCUUCAGGCACAUAAAUAUUUUACAGCUGGAUUUGUUUUUAAAGUUGGAGUAAAGUUGGAAGUCACAAGCAACAACUUCGUAAGUACCUACCUACAAGAAUAUUGAGGAAAUCCAGCUCCUGGAUACUACUGGGCAAACUAGAAGAUUGAAGAGGACAAAGCCUUUUGAACUAGUUUGAGUGAUAGUGAAAAGCAGAGCAUAAUGCUUGUGUGCAUGUGUAUGUUAGAAUAGUGCGGUUAGAAAAGCAGAGCAUAGUGCUUGUGUGCCUGUUAGAUUAGAGAAGAGACGCUAUGGGUAAGCUCUUCAUUUUAAGGAACAGUAGUAAUUUAGGUUAAAUUAAAAUUGCUCAUUGGUCAGACUUAUGACCAGAUUGUAAUUCUAAUGAACAAUUCAAUACAAUGAAUCGUCAUCGUAGUGAUGAUUAUGGAAAAAAAUAUAUGACAAGAUUUUGUGCAAUAAAAAUGUUUAUAUUUA